rnacentral:rRNA from 1 species
UACGAAGGGGGCUAGCGUUGCUCGGAAUCACUGGGCGUAAAGCGCACGUAGGCGGGUUCUUAAGUCAGGGGUGAAAUCCUGGAGCUCAACUCCAGAACUGCCUUUGAUACUGGGAAUCUCGAGUCCGGGAGAGGUGAGUGGAACUGCGAGUGUAGAGGUGAAAUUCGUAGAUAUUCGCAAGAACACCAGUGGCGAAGGCGGCUCACUGGCCCGGUACUGACGCUGAGGUGCGAAAGCGUGGGGGAGCAACAGGGAUUAAG